rnacentral:rRNA from 1 species
AUACGGGGGGGGCAAGCGUUGUUCGGAAUUACUGGGCGUAAAGGGCUCGUAGGCGGCCAACUAAGUCAGACGUGAAAUCCCUCGGCUUAACCGGGGAACUGCAUCUGAUACUGGAUGGCUUGAGUUCGGGAGAGGGAUGCGGAAUUCCAGGUGUAGCGGUGAAAUGCGUAGAUAUCUGGAGGAACACCGGUGGCGAAGGCGGCAUCCUGGACCGACACUGACGCUGAGGAGCGAAAGCCAGGGGAGCAAACGG